UCCUGAAAUUCAGAAUCUUACUUAGAAUCUAUUUAAAGUAGGGGGGGAAAACCAUGUCAAGAAAGACCAGGUGGAAAACGGAUUUCCAAUAAAAUGGAAUUUGGGGGCAACAAAGGUCUAAAACGCCACAAAAGAGAAAUGGCACCACAAUUUUACUUGAACGAUGGCUAAUUACUUGCAUUUUUGGCAUUGUUAAUCACUGAAUCUGGGUUUUCCUCUGAAUUCCACAUAGAACAUGCACUGCACAAUUUUAUCGUAAAAUGCCUGCUUUUUACACACAUUUUAGGAUAAGCUAGGGAGGCGGCAGUUUUAAUAAGCAAGGAAACUUACUUACAUAGGAGGCUUAACACAGGAGGCUGCAAGACGAGUGCACCUCUGCACUCACUCGCCAAAAUGUUAAGAGUUUAUACAGAAGCCUUACCUGGGUUCUCUCACAUGUAUUGUACAGUCUCAGCAACACUUUGCUCUCUCAAGGUUGCAUCUUUGAAAUGACUCCGGCUACGGGAACCAUGAGCGGAACGUAUAUUCCAAGUCCAGGACAGGAGGUGAGGAGCCUCUAACUGCGUGGUCCCGCUCGCGGGUCAACUGGCGGUCAGAUCCUCUUGACGACCUUCUCCAGCAAUACCUCCGUCGUCAUUCUCUCAGGAAAAUGAAACAUGAAGUGCCAACAUUUUGCUUUACAAAGCUUUUACGAAAGUCCCUGGUUUUGAAUCUGCAAAGAAAUCAUAGUAGAAAGUUAUACUUCUAAGGAUCUCCAAUACCUGACAUCCUGCAUAUCCAAAUUUCCAACUUCCAUACAGAUCUGAAGCUGCAGACAUGGGAUAUCCAAUGCUACUGACCCCUAUGUCAGUAACAGCCAGAUAAGAAAAUGGAAAAACACAAAGCUGAGGGAAUUUGCUCACUGUUGCAUAGAUACUAAAGGAUGAAAUCCAAAGUGCAAGAGUUUUCCAAUACAGCAUUCUGGGAAUGAGCUGAAUUUCCACCUUGUCUUCAACAACAAUACAGUCUGCUCUCUUUUUUUACAACUUUCAUUUUCUUUCCAGGACCUUAAUUAGAUUUCCAGGAUCUUAAUUAGAUUCCACCACCAAAGAGAAGACGACACAGAGGAUGUGUGAGAAUAGUAAAUGACCUAAAAAUACUUUUUUGCCAUGGUACACACUCUUCCCCAAUAAAGCCUUAAUUUGACAAUGUAAUAACCAAAUAUAUGGAUGAUUAUUAAAAAAUUAUUCAUUUUAUA